rnacentral:rRNA from 2 species
UACGGAGGGGGCUAGCGUUGUUCGGAAUUACUGGGCGUAAAGCGCACGUAGGCGGCUUUGUAAGUUAGAGGUGAAAGCCCGGAGCUCAACUCCGGAAUAGCCUUUAAGACUGCAUCGCUAGAACGUUGGAGAGGUAAGUGGAAUUCCGAGUGUAGAGGUGAAAUUCGUAGAUAUUCGGAAGAACACCAGUGGCGAAGGCGACUUACUGGACAACUGUUGACGCUGAGGUGCGAAAGCGUGGGGAGCAAACAGG